AGGUAGAUGGCUGAGCUUAAGCGGUGGAUUGUAACCCCAUAGACAGAGGUUUGAGUCCUCUUCUUAUCA
rnacentral:tRNA from 1 species